CUAAAAACUCUGGUUUUCUACUACAGAUACAAAAGAAACUUCUGGAAGAUGAAGAUUUUUCUGCUCGCUGCUCUAACCUGUUUGGUGUCUGCCACCGAGGAACCCCUGCAGAAAAAACGGCAAGUGUCAACGACAUACAGUCUGGACAGAUAAACCUAGAUAUAAGAUAUGCUUUACAAAAGAAAGGGGAAAAUAUCACUGAAAAAGUUUGGAAAGACUACGUGAAGCUGACACAAGAGUAUGAAAUCCCUAUUGAAAAUAUGUAUGAUUCAG